UGGAAUGUAAAGUUUCAUAAUUAUUAUUGUAUAUUUUUCCUUUAUAAGGAGAAGUUCAUGUAGACUUUAUAAGUGAAAGAAUAGGAUCGGUAAGAAAAGAGAGUUUGAGAUGGGAGAGUAUGGUUACGCUUACCGUAGCAUUUCAACUUACAGUACCACGAGAAAUGGAGGAACACGCGAGCUUCUUGCUGCUGUUAAAAAAAAACCAUUAUUUCCCAAUAAUUACUCAGAGGAUGCCGUUACAAGGAAAAAAAUAGUACCAGUUGUUAGCAGGUCUUAUGAUGAACCUGCUGCAACUGGGAAAUAUCCUUCUUCCGGUUCAGAAGAUGAAUCUGAUGAUGAUGAUGAUAGGCAUCGUCGUCAAACAAACCCUGUUCAUAGCUCUCCUCGUAAGGUGCAGAAUCAUGAAGGUAGUCAUAAUCCUCAACGAUUGGGUCCCGUUGUUGACCGUGGCCGUCAUACCCCUCAGCUAACUGCUGAGGGGCACAGGCCAACUGGAGGUAGUAGCACCAUUAAUCAUGAUGGUGCUAAUUAUGUAGGAAACAAAGGACACAAGCUAAUUGGAAUUGAUCCAAUUGGGAAUCACAACUACGAUGGUGAUCGUCGUGCACCAAUAGUUGUAGGGGAUCCAAAAGAAGGACGCAAAUCGAUUGGAAUUAGUCCAAACAAUUAUGAUGGUAGUAAUGGCAAUGGUGGUGAGCGACGUGUAGUAAGGGAUCCAAAGGAAGGGUACAAGCCAAUUGGAAUUAGUCCAAUUAGGAGUGGCAACUAUGAUGGUACUAACGGAUAUGGUGGUGAUCGUCGUGCAAUAGGAGAUCCAAAGGAAGGGUACAAGACAAAGCCAAUUGGAAUUAGUCCAAUUAAGAGUGGCAACUAUGAUAGUAAUAAUGGCUAUGGUGGUGACCAUCGUGCACCGGCAGUAGGAGAUCCAAGUAAAGGGUACAAAUCAAUUGGAAUUAGUCCAAUUAGGAGUGACAACUAUGGUGGUACUAAUCACUAUGAUGGUUAUAAUAAUGGAUAUGGUGGUCAUAAUAUUGUGAAUUACAACAACAGAUCCAAUCCCAAUGGGCCAAAAAUUAGUUCAAACUGGAGUGCUGCACCGAGACAAGGGACCCAACUAAGUGAACCAAUUAAUGAUAUUGACAAGGCUAUGGAAUUGUUGAAGAUGGAAGCUGCAAAGCGUGAUCACCAGCGUAGCAUUAGCAACAACACUCAGUACUACGAUGGUAGUAUUAAUGCUUCUCCUACCGGAAGGCCUUAUGGUGGAAACUUUAUUCAAUCACAGCCACGCAUGUCACCAACACCUGUCACAUACAUUCCUGACGAUGAUGAUGAUGAUGAUUAUAAUUACUACACGAUGGAUAAUACAGGACGUUAUGGAGGACAUCAUAAUUCAAUCAUUGACAGUAGGGAGGCUGAGAAGAGGUUUAAAGGCACCAGGGUCUGAAUAUUAAUUAGCUACUCCUUUUUAUAAGAGACAGUUUAGUUAAAAUUUGGUAAGUUGUUGUAAGUACUUCAUAUCAAAAAGUAUUGAUUAUAUAUAACUAAUAAUUAGUAUAUAUAUAGUUGUCUGUAUUUAAGAUUAAUCUAUACCUUUUUAGUGUAUAGAUCAUCGAUCUAUACCUGUAUUGUUAUGUAUUGAUUAGAUAAGCAAAAAUAUAGUGUAAAAUAUAAGAUGUAAGGGUUGAAUGAAUAAAUAAAUAUGUGGAGUGUUUAUUAAGUAAUACCUCUUUCUUAAUUAUUGGUUGAUUGUUUGUUUUUAAUUUAUUUUUGUUGAAAAAUGGUGGUGCACUCAAGAAGC
rnacentral:lncRNA from 1 species